rnacentral:rRNA from 1 species
UACGGAGGGGGCUAGCGUUGUUCGGAAUUACUGGGCGUAAAGCGCGCGUAGGCGGCUUUGUAAGUUAGAGGUGAAAGCCCGGGGCUCAACCCCGGAACUGCCUUUAAGACUGCAUCGCUUGAAUCCGGGAGAGGUGAGUGGAAUUCCGAGUGUAGAGGUGAAAUUCGUAGAUAUUCGGAAGAACACCAGUGGCGAAGGCGGCUCACUGGACCGGCAUUGACGCUGAUGUGCGAAAGCGUGGGGAGCGAACAGG